CGGAUGAUAACUCAAGAACGCUUAUGCCUAGGAUCAUGAAACUUCAUAGGUACAUUGAUCAUGACUCGCAGAUGACCCCUAUUGAUUUUCAGGUUACUAGGUCAAAGGUCAAGGUCACGGUGACCCGAAAUAGUAAAAUGGUGUCCGGAUGAUAACUCAAGAACGCUUAUGGCUAGGAUCAUGAAACUUCAUAGGUACAUUGAUCAUGACUGGCAGAUGACCCCUAUUGAUUUUCAGGUCACUAGGUCAAAGGUCAAGGUCACAGUGACAAAAAACAUAUUCACACAAUGGCUGUCACUACAACGGAGAGCCCAUAUGGGGGGCAUGCAUGUUUUACAAACAGCCCUU